rnacentral:rRNA from 1 species
UACGUAGGGUGCAAGCGUUGUCCGGAAUUAUUGGGCGUAAAGAGCUCGUAGGCGGUUUGUCGCGUCUGCUGUGAAAUCCGGAGGCUCAACCUCCGGCCUGCAGUGGGUACGGGCAGACUAGAGUGCGGUAGGGGAGAUUGGAAUUCCUGGUGUAGCGGUGAAAUGCGCAGAUAUCAGGAGGAACACCCGUGGCGAAAGCGGCUCUCUGGGACGGUACUGACGCUGAGACGCGAAAGCGUGGGGAGCGAACAGG